UUGUAAUCGCGUAGAAUUUUCGUAUACUUCAUCAUCGAUCGAACAGCGUUCCUUUCUUAGUUGGAACGUGAAAUUCAAUGAGAUGGAUGGAUUUUUUAAAACGUUUUAAUGGGUAGUAAAACAGGAAACGCUGUUUCACAUCUGUCGGCGGUAAACAGUGAGAUUCGAACGUCCUUCGAGGCGUUCUCGUCAAGCGAAGGGGUAUAACGAGCGGAUCUUUUCUUCUUUCUUCCUUCUUUUUUUUUCUCUUCCUUUUUCCAUAGACACGUGUCGUGUGCAGUGCACACGUAGUAUGCAUCUUUGGUGUACGCAGUCGCGCGGACAAGAAACUAUGUGCAGUCACGUGUAAGAGUGGAAUAGCGAAAACGUGAUGCGAUUAUGCAUUCUUUCUACGUCGUCAUUUCUCACUUGACGUCACCGGAUUUCCAGCGACUACAAACAUCGUCGAUCAAUAUUCGUCGAUCGCGAGAUCGACGAUGAUAUUGUUAAACCGCAAAUACUUAACAUAUAUCGUCGGUCUCGAGCAAGUUUUCUAUCGAAUGCAGGAACAAAAUCAAUCACCUACAAUGAAUUUUCAAACGAUCCACACAGACAGUGAUAUUCUUCUAUACUAUACCAAGAUGCUUUAUUAAUAGACUGUUGUUCUUUAUUAUUAAGUUAAGGAAACUUAUUUUUAUGAAGAGGUAUUUUAAAAUUGCGACGAUAAUGUUUAUAACGAAUUUAUAUGAACGAUACUACGAUAUCUUCUUCAAUGUUCUAUUAUAUUUCUUCGAAUGUUAAGUUAACGAUAAAACAUAAUACAAAAGAAGGGGAAAUACAAUUAAGAUUCGUAAUAAUUAAUAAAUUAACUAUUUCAUUUCUAUUACGAUAAUAAGUAUUACAAAGGUGAGAUGUUAAGUUUAUAAACAUUAUAGACGAUUUAAAAACUCCGCUAUUUAUGAAAAAUCUUCUUCUUCUACUAUAAUGUUAAAAGUUCAAAAAAAAGUUUAAAGUUUAGCUAUCGAUUUUUUCCAAGUUGACGACAUUUCAUCCAUAAUUCCCCUAUAAAUGUAUCGAGAGAUAAAAUAUUCGUUUAACAUUGCUGUCGAAAACCACUUGUAAUCGUUAAAUGAACCUGGUUUCGUGUCCACCAAAACUGUCGAUCGAUUGAAAAAUUUCGACGAUAAUAAACACGCAGCGGACACACACAUACACACAUACACGAAACGAUAACGGUCAAAAGCAACAGCUGCGAGAACGUUUGAUUAGACGUGCCGAUGGAAAAAGGAGGAAGAGAUUACAGCAAACAAGAUUUUAUCGUUUCAAAUCACAGCUGCCUUCGAUCAUCAAUUGCUGCCAGCUAUUCCUCCAAUGCCAUUUGCGCGAAUUUUGCAAAAUCGAGUGGCGGUUGGCGGCGUUUGAAAAAUAUUUUUUUACGAGUUAGUUUCACCUUUUUUUCUUCACGAGUGUUAUUAUAUCCCUUGACCUUACCAUAAACUAUAGUCCAUCCUCGUACCAUCUGUACAAAUAUAUUAACUCAGACCCUUAAUAACCUUAAGGAACCAUAAUAAAAUUUAACUUUUACCCUUCUGUCAAGGCCCUCAAUCGCUACAAACACCUUUCAAGUCGAAACGUUCUUUAGGGUUAUUAGUCAUUAAGACGAAACAUGCGAAAAGCAGCUUUUCUCAUGUACAAUAUUCGGCGGCCACCUCGACCCGUGAGCGACCGUUGGUGGGGGGCGGACAGCAUCCAUCACUAGUUUCGUAUAAAUAUGGCCGUCACAGAAUAUAUAUCUUAACUUGCUCUAAACUCUUCGCUGAAAACAUUUCUACACGCACCACUCACAUCCUUCAAAGUUGUUGGAAAGAAAAUAUUUAAUCUGCUAACUCAGUGUUAUAAUUGUUCAACCACUCCUAUUAUCUUAACUGAAAUAGAGGAUCGGCUGAUUCGUGGCGUCGAUCAUUAUAUCGUAACGAGAAUUUACGAUUGUCAUUGGCGCGUUAUACUGUGAACGUGUCUUUCCGCGAAGCGGUCGAACAAGUAUCUUCGUUGUCAGAUAUACAUAAUGUCGUACACCGAUAGCCUUCCCUAAAAUUAUCAAUCUUUUGUAUUCAUUUUUCAACUAUUCGUAUAUUUAUAUAUAUGAACAAAGAAACACGUAAAACGCCGUGAUGUGUAAUCGUUCACAAAGGAUAUAACCUAACACGAAGAUGAUACCCCGCUGGGGAUAGCCACCCACAUGAUAAUCAAACAGCUAAAAAAUUCUACCAAAUGUCCAAAUUGGACAAAUUGUAAAUGUAAAUUAUUAAAUAAAAAAAAAAAAUGUGUAAUCGUAGCUAUGUAAGAAAUUAUUAUAUACGUUGUUGUCGAUUAUACGAUAACUGCAACGUUUCACGAAACUAUUCCAACACGGAACUUUUGUACCGACAUAUUACAUGCAUUUAUAGGGAUUUUUGUUAAAAUUUCGUCAGCGCUCUAACGAGACACGACUAUCGGCGAUUAUAAUAAAGAAACGAAAGAAAAAAGAAAUCGCCUUUGACUAUAUUCUGACACCGAUCUGUUAAAAACAUCGAGGCAAGGAAAGUUACAAAGCUUGGGACUUUUUCUUUCUUUUCGAAUCUUUCGAUAAAGAAAAUGUUGCGAAAUUUUCGAUAUCGUGUUUCUUAAAAUUCGACUUCAAAUUUCUCGCGUAUUUAUCUGAUCUUACGUAAAGCUACAAAACCAUAGUUUUUCGUAAAUACGAUUUAUAAUAUUUAUAUUUUAGUUAAUCGUACAAAAUACG